GUGCAGAGUUUGCCACACAGUAGGCACUCAGUAUAUAGCUACGGAAUUGUAUGAGCCUUUUUCAAGAGAAAUAUUCUAUUUUGUGUGACAAAAGAAGGGACAUAAAGUAGACUACAUAGAUCGUGUUGGCUACUUCAGCUUCUUUCUCUUCUUCUUCUUUUUAAAUAAACACUAAUAAAACAGGAUUGAUAUCUCUUGAAAGUUCUAGUGAAGCAGGGAGGUUUUCCAGAAGGUGGUUGGAUCCCUUUAUUAAAAGCAUCUGUGCCACGGCCACUGGCAGAAGCCCAAACAUCCUGAAGUGGACGGCUCUGGGAAAUCAGAAAGAUAGAACACAGCCAAAUUCUAAGAUGGAACAAAUCGUAAAGUCAUACUGCAUCUUAAUUUGAUGACCCACAGGAAAGGUUUUUCUGCCUCAUCAAGUCUAUAAAGCAAGGUAUUUAUGGUUUUCUUGAGCACUUAAUAGGUAACAAGAGUAAUGUAUAAUGAUGCUAUUACACUGACUUAACAUAGACUGUUUCUUAAGGUAUGUUGUUAAUUUUACUACUUUGAUUUUCUCCAUGUGUGAUUGAUUUUGCAUUCAUUGUUUCAUAAUAUAUAUCCAGCCUCAGUAAAGCAUUCCAAAAGCAGAAGCAAGCAAGCACUUAGGGAAUAUUCACAUUAAAGAAGUCUUGUAACUCAAAAGAUGAAAAAUGCCAUGUAUCUCCUCUCCAAUAUGGUAAUUAACAGCUGAAAGUCAACUCUGGAUCAUCUGUAUAGUGGGGCAGUAAAGGGCAUAUAAAAUCAUAAAUAAACCCAGACUGGUUUUUGUUUUGGAAUGGCUCCUGUACUUCCAUAUGAAUAAGAGAGUGACUCACCCCCUUGGGAAUUCACAGUACAUCAAACCAAAUUAGGAAGCCAGGCAGCUGUGACCUGGUUUUGUAAGGGCCAAGAAAACUACAGAGUUUCACUACUGAACCUAGUAACUCAAAAUGAUUCCCUGGUUCCCAUGCCAUUUGAUACAUGGGUGUACCUUACUGACUCAUAUAAAAUGCCACUCUGGGCUUGUGUUUUCUCUUACCUUACCCAGAGUUGUAUGUGAGGAAAUAAAGGCUUGAGAGAUCUUGAGGUGGCAGUUUACAGGAGGGUAAAAGGAAACAGGAGUUAGAAUAAACAAUGUUAGUAAAAACUUGGAUGCAAGAUUGACCUUAUGCAAUCUCUAAGGUACAUUGAAUUGAAUGAGGGAGAGAGUUCUAAACUGCUUGUUCUCAGUCUACUCCAGGUAAAGCUUACAAAACUGCCUGUUGGGUUCUUUCAUCGUUAUUGUUGCCACUGGAAGGGCUUUUACCACCACUUUUGAACUCUACAGCCUCCUGAAUAUAUCUGUCCAUCUAAGAAAAGGAUUAAAUUCAAGAUAACCCUUGUCAUCUGCAUGCUGCCACAUGGUUAGGAUGAAGACUGACACACGAGACAAGUGAUGGAGUGUCACAGCCACAGAGGGGCACAUCAACCUGAUACAAGAGAAAUGGAGCGAGGAGAGGUUAAAUCACAGAAUUUGGAAAGAAAAAGGGCAUCCAACAGCCUUAAAGAUGAAGAAAUGGAAGCUCCAGAGUUGAAGAAAUGUGUCUUCACUCCCACAAGUAAUCUUGAAGUUCCGAGCCACCAUGAGAGUUUUCCUGACACUGAGGUAAUUUCCUACCAUGUUGACACCACCUUGCGCCAGUGUUCAAGACCAUCACAGCUAUGAACCUUGUUGGCUUGUAUCAGAUGCCUGCUGGGACCUUGGCUGCCCAUAGUGCUCUCUAAAGACUCCAGCUUUCCAUAACUCCUACAGUUUUAAGUUCAAGGAAUGAUGAAGAGGACGCCAAUGUACGGAUUUGAUUUACCAAAUCAGGCCUGUACAGCAGCUGAAUCAACCUAUGGGAAAAUUUUGGCUCUCUUUAACAUUCUAAUUUUUGAGAACACCAUUGCAAAUACAUGAUUUCCAAAAUAAUAACAAUGCACUUAAUUAAUCACAUUAUAGAUCAUCAUAUAAAAAUAAAUACCUAAAUAGAAAUACAAUUUAUUUUUUUCUUAAAUUCCAAAUUGCAUAGAGCUGCCUCCUCUGCAGUUUUCCAUCACUGCCUCCUUCUCAGACUUCUCCUUUUGUUUUUUCAUUUCUUUGUACAGACUCCAGUCAUUUGUUUAAAUAUUCAUACUCAACCAGAAUACGUUUCCUAAUGUGGGAAUCAUUGCUUAUUCACAGGCACAGCCCUUGACAUCCUGAAAACAUGUAGUAAUGAUUUUUGGAAUAAAGGUUUGACACUUCUACAUUUACAUGUAAAUGGAGUUAAAAAAUUCUAGGUUGAGAAUAAGAAUACUAUAAAAAUUUUGAUCUAAAAUGGAUGUUAGAGAUAACCCAGCGCAACCAGUUGCUCUUACAAUUGAGGAAACUGAGGUCAAGAAUGAGUGAGUGGCUCAGAGUCACCCAGCUCAUUAGAGCCUGAAUGAACCACCUUGGUUCACUACCUCUGUUCACCGCCCUUUCUAGUGCACUUCAUGAAAUCACUCUCUAAGUACACAUCAACUCAUUUAGAUACUUAAAUGAUUCUUGAGAAAGUAGAAAGUAUAAAUGCCUUGACCACACAUAAGAACUUUGACAUAUUUCACUCUCUGUACUGAAAUUUCUAACAAUGCCUGGUACAUAAUAGGUAUUCAGUUGAUUUGGGUUUCUACAUCCCUUUUCUCCUUCUCUUCUUCAAGUUUGCAUGUAAACCACAUUAAAGACUGCUAAUAUAUAAAGUAGGCACCAUCUCAUGAAUCAAAGAGGGGAUUCCUAGAGCCACUGAGGAUGUCUUUAGAAGCCAGUGGUGCUGAUCCCACAGCUACUCUCCUGUGGACAGUGGAAGUGCUCCCCAAAGUACAUUCUUAGGGGAAAUGGGGCUGCCGCCAUGAGGAGGUGUCAAUAGAGAUUAGAGAUGGUCUUUGUGCUGUGAGAGAGACCUCACAUUUCCAAAUGCCAAGUCCUUUCUUCCUCAGUCAAAUGUACCCCCUAGAACAUAGAUACCUACUAAGCUGUAGAUUUUUGAGGGGAUACAGAGCUGAAUCCAUAAGAUAGUGGAUUAUUCAGAUAAGAAUUUCUGUAGAUAGAGAGUUUCCAAUCAAUUAUGUACCCCAACAAUGUGAGGUCAACUACUUAGACUACCUCUUAGCUUCUACAUUUAGAUGUUUCAAAGUCUGUUCUGAUCCUUAAAUUUGACACUUCUCUUUAAUAUAAACAAAGCCCUUUUAGUAUUCUUUGGGAUUAGCUUACCACUUAAUAAAUUCCUUCCAACACUAUCUUCUGUGAGUCAACAAACAGCUUCCUCCUG
rnacentral:lncRNA from 10 species